GGGCGUCGCCCCAGCCUGAACCCCCGGCCCAGGGUCCUGGCGCGCAACGACAUGAGCAUCGCCGAGGAGCUGCUGUACCUGCGCGUGGUGCGUGGCCUAAUGGCCGCCAUGGGCAACACGGACCACAGCAACAGCCAGCGGCUGGCCAGCCUCACGCUGGAGUGCUUCGUGCAGAUGUUCCCCUUGGUGGCGGAGCACGUGCGCAAGUGCAUGGGGGAGGAACUCUACCAGCUCUUCCUGGCUGCCGACCCGCCCCCCACCUGCAACAUCCCUCUGCCAAGCCCAACUCCAAGUCCAGACUGCCCUGGCACCCCAGCCGGGUCCCCCUUGCUCCUGUCCUCAGAGCAACGCUGAGGACUUGUACAUGAAAAUAGACAGCAUUCAGGCGGACAUCUUGGCGGCCAACACAGUCAAUGUUACCAAAGGUGAGUGUGGGACGAGGGAAGCCGGGCGCAGGCGCCGCCAGCACAGCCUCACGCCUGCCUUUCCUGCCUGCAGCCCUGUGCCUCCAUGGCAGCUCCUACAGCAUGAACACUCUCUAUGGCUCGCGUGAUUCGGCUCAGAUGGCCUACCUCACACACUUCGAGGAGGAUGUAGAAUCAAAGGAGUAACAGCCCCUGUGGCAAACCAGGAAGGCCAAGGCUGCGGGGCAGGGAAGCCUGGCAAGAGGAAGGCGCCUGGGGUCAAGCUCAGAGCCACUCCACUUGGCUCCAAGGGGGAGACGGGGAUUAGGCACCCCAGAGGGGCAGAGGGAGAGCCGCUGGCUGCGAAGAGUCAAUAAACAGCCUUGAUACCUGUC
rnacentral:sRNA from 1 species